AUCAACUUUGCAGAUGUAGUGAGAGCUUCCAGAGAUGUUUUAUAUGACCAAGUGCUGAAAUUCAUUUUCUUUUUACUGUUUCUUUCAUCACCUUCUAAGAAAUUAUAUGUUCAUUCCAAGGAGUUAAGUCUCAACUGACCAUGGAAAGAAUAUGGCAGAUAUAACAGCACGUAAUUUCCAAGGCAAGGUCAUAAAAGACAUUGUAGCUUCUGCCUUGUCCCUUCCUCUUGGAUCUCUUGCUAUGGAGUAGCAGCCCCAUGAAGACACCCGUGGUGGAAGAUCACUGAGGACUCCUGCCAACAGCCACCCAGUGACUGAGGCCUCUUGCAGAAAUCCAUAUGAGUGGGCCAGCUGACAAGAAAAUCUUCCAGCUCUAGUCAAGCCUUCAGGUGAGCAAUGAGACUUAUGGAAACAAAUCUGCCUAAUGCCAUUUAGCUAGUAAACACAAAGAGAAGUCCAGAACCUAGCCCUCUUUGACCUCUCUGUCCACACUCUCAGCUACUAGAGGAUGGAGACUGGCAGGAGAAAAGCAGAAGGUUCUGGAGUCCAGAACACCAGCUCUUAGUGCCAGGAACUGCCAGGUAAGAAUUCUGACUACACUGAGGCCACCAUGCUCUGAGGAAGUCAAGCCAGAUGGAAAGAUCACAGCAGGAGAACUGGUCAGCAGUCAUACUCUUGAACUCAUCCCAACCCAGACUCCAGACAUGUGAAUUGACAAGUCUUCAGAUGAUUCCAGCACAAAGCCAUUGAGUCACCUCCAGCCAUUGAGUGUCCCCAGCCGAGACACCAGUCACCAUCAAGCAGAGCCAGUAUGCCUGUUAUGCCUGUCCAAAUUCUUGACCCACUAAAUUCUAUGAAAUUAAUAAAUGGUUGUUUAAGUUACUAAAUUUUAAACUUAAUUUGUUAUGCAGUAAUAGGAAUUGUUCCUGUCUGUGAGCAAGUCCUCAUGGACAAUAAACUCAGAUCUGUCUGUGGAAUCUGGGAGAAAAAGAGACUGUUAUCCUUCCCCAUGGUACAGCCCCAGAAAGAUAAAAGUCUCAGAAUAAAACACUGUACAUGCAUAGCUCAUUUUAUUGGGCUUUGUUUAUUGCAUCUCACAAACGUUACGCUUUUUACAGACUGAAGGUUUGUGGCAACCCUGUGUCUAUUGAGCAAGUCUACCAGCACUAUUUUUCCAACAGUAUGUGCUCGCUUUGUGUCUC
rnacentral:lncRNA from 10 species